rnacentral:rRNA from 1 species
GUCGCACCUACCGAUUGAAUGGCUCGGUGAAGGCUGAGGAACGUGGGCAUAUGCCUUUAUUGGUGUGAGUCCAUGUGAGAUGGUUUGAACCUCGUCAUUUAGAGGAAGGUG